rnacentral:rRNA from 1 species
UACGGAGGGUGCAAGCGUUAUCCGGAUUCACUGGGUUUAAAGGGUGUGUAGGCGGGUAUUUAAGUCAGUGGUGAAAUCUCCAGGCUCAACCUGGAAACUGCCAUUGAUACUAUUUAUCUUGAAUCUUGUUGAGGUGGGCGGAAUAUAUCAUGUAGCGGUGAAAUGCUUAGAUAUGAUAUAGAACACCGAUUGCGAAGGCAGCUCACUAAACAAGCAUUGACGCUGAGGCACGAAAGCGUGGGGAUCAAACAGGAUUAGAUACCCUGGUAGUCCACGCCCUAAACGAUGAUUACUCGACAUACGCGAUACACAGUGUGUGUCUGAGCGAAAGCAUUAAGUAAUCCACCUGGGAAGUACGUCCGCAAGGAUGAA